rnacentral:rRNA from 1 species
GAUGAACGCUGGCGGCGUGCCUAAUACAUGCAAGUCGAGCGAACAGAUAAGGAGCUUGCUCCUUUGACGUUAGCGGCGGACGGGUGAGUAACACGUGGGUAACCUACCUAUAAGACUGGGAUAACUUCGGGAAACCGGAGCUAAUACCGGAUAAUAUUUCGAACCGCAUGGUUCGAUAGUGAAAGAUGGUUUUGCUAUCACUUAUAGAUGGACCCGCGCCGUAUUAGCUAGUUGGUAAGGUAACGGCUUACCAAGGCGACGAUACGUAGCCGACCUGAGAGGGUGAUAGGCCACACUGGAACUGAGACACGGUCCAGACUCCUAAGGGAGGCAGCAGUAGGGAAUCUUCCGCAAUGGGCGAAAGCCUGACGGAGCAACGCCGCGUGAGUGAUGAAGGUCUUCGGAUCGUAAAACUCUGUUAUUAGGGAAGAACAUACGUGUAAGUAACUGUGCACGUCUUGACGGUACCUAAUCAGAAAGCCACGGCUAACUACGUG